rnacentral:rRNA from 1 species
AGUGAACGCUGGCGGUAGGCCUAACACAUGCAAGUCGAACGGCAGCACAGGAGAGCUUGCUCUCUAGGUGGCGAGUGGCGGACGGGUGAGGAAUACAUCGGAAUCUGCCCAGUCGUGGGGGAUAACGUAGGGAAACUUACGCUAAUACCGCAUACGACCUUCGGGUGAAAGAGGGGGAUCGCAAGACCUCUCGCGAUUGGAUGAGCCGAUGUCGGAUUAGCUAGUUAGCGGGGUAAUGGCCCACCAAGGCGACGAUCCGCAGCUGGUCUGAGAGGAUGAUCAGCCACACUGGAACUGAGACACGGUCCAGACUCCUACGGGAGGCAGCAGUGGGGAAUAUUGGACAAUGGGCGCAAGCCUGAUCCAGCCAUACCGCGUGGGUGAAGAAGGCCUUCGGGUUGUAAAGCCCUUUUGUUGGGAAAGAAAUCUUUCAGGCUAAUACCCUGGGAGGAUGACGGUACCCAAAGAAUAAGCACCGGCUAACUUCGUG